rnacentral:rRNA from 1 species
UGGGGAAUUUUGCGCAAUGGGGGAAACCCUGACGCAGCAACGCCGCGUGGAGGAUGAAGUCCUUCGGGACGUAAACUCCUUUCGAUCGGGACGAUAAUGACGGUCCCGGAAGAAGAAGCCCCGGCUAACUUCGUGCCAGCAGCCGCGGUAAUACGAGGGGGGCGAGCGUUGUUCGGAAUUAUUGGGCGUAAAGGGUGCGUAGGCGGUUUGGUAAGUCUUGUGUGAAAUCUCCAGGCUCAACUUGGAGUCUGCACGAGAAACUGCCGGGCUUGAGUGUGGGAGAGGUGAGUGGAAUUCCUGGUGUAGCGGUGAAAUGCGUAGAUAUCAGGAGGAACACCUGUGGCGAAAGCGGCUCACUGGACCACAACUGACGCUGAUGCACGAAAGCUAGGGGAGCAAAC